UAUUUUCUGGUUUAGAAAUCUCAUUUACCAUUAAUUUAAACAUUUCAAGUUUGAAAACUUACUCCUUCCUCCACUCCUCCUCCUCCGCCGCCGUUUCUCAUCUUCCGGUCAAGCCAAAAAGCACCGCUGCCGCUGCCGCUGCAAGCUCUUCUCUUCUCUGCUGCAACUUCUUCUCAAGCCCAGAAGCACUGCUGCUGCUGCAAGCCCUCCUCUGCCGUGAAGAUCCUCAUCCCCACAAGCCCCUUUUCGUCUGAAGAUCAUCUAACACGAUCUAAUUCGUUGUGUGCACGGACGCGGGGUGUGUUUUAUCCACACAAAAUUCAGCAAAGCAAGCAGAAACGAAACCUGACGGUUCUACUGGUAUACUUCAUUGUGGAACUACUCACAUGGUGCCUCCUGUUGGUAAUGAUAUGCCAAGCCAACCCAACUUUGCCCAUGGUGUUGGUACAUAGAUGGCACCUCAUAGCAUAGGUUAUGGUUAUGGCACUCCGAAUCAUGGAAUGACUAUGCAUCCCUUUUAUGGUUUGGUCCCUUGUAUGCCACAAUUUCCCCAAGUGACAAUCCCACCUCAUGUUGGUGGAGGUCACUCUAAUUUGCUUCGUCAAGUCAUGAACAAUGGAAGUGAAGCAAUAGGUGAAAAGUCAGGACAACCUACACAACUCCGGUGAUGAUUCUGUGUCUCUAUAUUCACCUUGCCAUGGAGGUGAAGGUGGUUUUUGCUGUCCUUGAGAGGGUUGCGUCUAAAAUUGAGCUACCAGAUUCAGGUGAAGAGAAGCUGGAUUGAGGAGAAAGAAGCUUGAAUUGUCUGUGUGCUUCUUUCAACUGCAGACUUUGGCUCUUUGUGUGUUUCUGGGUCUGGAUUGCCUUCUCCAGGAGCAGAUUGAAAACUGAGCUACAUUGAAUGCUAGAGUUGCUAUUUAGCAUUGUGUUGUUAUUUUUGUUUCCCUUAAACAUUUAGAUAAUCAAUUUUUUUUUUGCAAUGGUUGCUGCAGCUGAAAACGAGGACCCUAAAGUUUGCAGAAACAAGAGCAAAUAAAUGAAAAAUAAAAACAUGUUAUAUCUUCCAA